CUCUGGGGUGCAGCAGGGCACAGGCGUGGAAGAGCAGCCAUGGCAGAAGGGCAGGUUUCAGAGUGGACUCUUGGAACAGCGCCCUGUGCCCCUCCAGCCACCGUCCCGGAGGGCACCCAGUGACCCGGCUUUCGACGCCAUUCUGCCUUGAGGGAAGUGUCCAACUUUCGCCUCUUGAAAACUCCGAUGCAUGCUGGUGAGAGAAGGAGAAGGGCACAGGGCACCUGCUGUGAUGAAAACAGCUUUGACCUCGGGACACCCUGGAAGAGUCCUGAAGCCCCCAGGCCACACUUGGAAGAACGAAGCAUGUGGGUGUGAGUGGGCCGGGGCGGGGGUGGCAGCCAGCGCUGUUUGCGUUGGGCGUGUUUAUAGACUUGAUUUUUCUCCACACUUCAUUCCAAGAGAUAGACACUCAAACUAUGAAAAUUGUUUUUAUUUUAAAUCAAAGUACCAGGCAGAUACUUGCAAAACAACAUACAAAGCAAAACUCAAACAUGGCCCUUCCCUAGGGCGCCUCUGAGCAGGCACAGAGAAGUUCUCACCCUCUGCAAAAUCCAAUCCAAUCCUAUCUUCUCAGAAAACCAAACCAAAGGCAGCCAUGAAAACCCGUGUUCUGUACGUGGUUGAGAAGGUCCUCCUCUCUGAGUACUGGCUGGCCCCGAGGCCAGCAGAACUGGGAGGUCCAGGGAACCCUGCCCCUGAGGAGCCAGCAGGACCUGGAGGAGCCGGGGGCGGUGCUGACGACAACCUUCCCCACCCACUGCAGUGUGGUUCCCAAGAGGAUGAGGGCUUCUCCAGGGCCCUUCCCCAGGCUGGGGCUUGGAGCCCCUGCCAGAAGCAGCUGGGUUGGCGGUAGACGUCCCCAAGGGCCUUGGGAAGCACUGGGAAUGGGCUCCCAGCCCUGGUGGAAUGGGGGAUUGGGAAUUAAUUCUGAAGCUGGUUGUGGCUUAUUUUUGUAUGGCUCUGAAAUUAACUUCCUCUCCCAAUGCCUCAAUAGCUAAGGGGCAGGGGCAGAAAAGGUCCCAACCUUGUUCUUAAAAAGAAAGAAAAUGAACCCACAACCCACUGGAAGUUCUGUUGACGAGGGCUGUCAAGGCAGACGCACU